rnacentral:lncRNA from 1 species
GUGCUUUCUUUAAGAUAACGCCAAAUCCCGGGUGAUCAGGCAUCCGCCCUUCUUCUCAUUGCUCCAGACUCAGAGCUGUAGACAACAUAAAUUUGUCCUCAUCAUUGUAAUUUUAAAAUUUAAAUUUAAUGAAAUUUUUAAUUUUAAAUUUGAUUGAUAAUUCAAUUUUUAAAAAAUAGGAUGAAAAUCUAUUUAAAGCCCCUGCUUCGAGAGGGAUGGCUCUAAGAGUAUCUCCAACCGUGAACCCUAGGCAACUUAAAUUUGUCCUCAUCAUCUGAAUCCCAUCUGAUCAUUAAAUACAAAAAAUGAGAUUUCAGUUUUAGAAAUCCAACCUACUAAAAUUAACAAAAAUCUCAAGACAUUUAUAAGAAAUACUCCUUUCGUCCCGCCGAGUUUGAGGCGUUUCUUUUGGAUACGAGAAUUAAGAAAUUGUUUAUUAGUGGUUUAAGUGUGUGGUAUAAAGGUAAUAAGAUGUGCAAUUAGUUUUAUAAAUUAGUGCUUUAAAUUGCCUAUUUUUUGUCAGAAAAAGAAAUGACUCAAACUCAACGGGACAGCUCGAAAAAGAAUACGAUUCAAGCUCGAUGGGAUGGAGGGAGUACCAGUUUAAUUUCAAGCAGUAAAACGUACCUGAAAGAUAGCGACUGCAAAAUUAAUCACCUUCUCUCUCCCCAUCGCUCCCUUUCCUCCCUCUCUCUCCAAAAUUAAUCACCUUCUUCGUCGGCCGAAGAAGGGAGGGCGGCAUCGAUUCUGGCUGCGAGGAGAAGAGAGGCCGAGAGGUGAGGGAGUGACACUGUGAAGAUUAGAGAGUGAGAGAAGGAGAGUGAUGGAGAGAAAAGAGAAGGGGAGAAAUUGGUUGGAGAUGGGCGUGGGUCGGCGGGUCGGGGCGCGGGUCAAUGGGCGGAUCGAUCCGUCUAAAUAUAUGCAUUUGGUCUGAUACACGAAUUUGUAAUUAUCUCCACUUUUCUCUAAUCAGAUUUCGACUGAAUAUUCACGUGAGAAGUACCUAUCGUCAACACCAACCACUACAAAAAGAAAGACUUCCAUAGAUUUGAUUGAGACAUAAUUUAAAGAUAUACUCACGUAUCUCCA